rnacentral:rRNA from 1 species
GAUGAACGCUGGCGGCGUGCUUAAUACAUGCAAGUCGAGCGGACAGACGAGGAGCUUGCUCCGCUGACGUUAGCGGCGGACGGGUGUGUAACACGUGUAUAACCUACCUAUAUGACUGGUAUCACUUCGGGAAUCCGGAUCUUAUCCGGGAUAAUAUAUUGAUCCGCGUGGUGCAUUGGUGAAUGACGGUUUUUCUGUCACUUAUAGAUGGAUCCGGGCGGCAUUAGCUAGUUGGUAAGUGAACGGCUUAUCAAGGCUACCAUGGGUUGGCGACCUGUGAGAGGGAUAGCCCACACGGGAACGGAGCCACGGUCAAGACUCCUAAGGGAGGCCGCAGUAGGGAAUCGUCCGCAACGGGCGAAAGCAUGACGGAGCAACGCCGCGUGAGUGAUGACGGCCUUGGGAUCGUAAAACCCUCUUAUGAGGGAAGAACCAAUGUGUAAGUAAAUAUGGCCGUAUUGACGGUAACUAGUAAGAAAGCAACGGCUAACUACGUG